GACGUGCGCUCUUCCGAUCGUGAGAGGAAGCCUCUGUGUGAGCCUUUGCCGACAUCACUCUUUGCCUCGAUUCUCAAACUCCUCCUUCUCCAACAUGCAAACACACAGACGGAGACACACACACACACACACACACACACACACACACACACACACACCUGCAGAGGUUGUGCCUUGUACCACAGUGAUACUGGUCUCAUUCCUAAAAAUACUUGAAUAAGUUAGUUUUUUUUUUUUCCCUCAGAUUCAAUCAUUUUGUAUUGAUACACAGGAUCCCAUUGGACAUCUAUGAUUUGGUUAGAAUUCUGAUUGAUUUUUAGUCCUUGGUUCCUCUAGAAAACAGGUGAGCAAGAAGAAAUGGUCUGUAACGCCCCUGUGGGGUGAAUUGUUUCAUUAAAUGAGCACUACUUUUUAUUCUCCCAAUCAUUGUAUUUGGCUUUUCACAUCAGCUUGGCAUGGUGCCCAGAGGGAUCUGCUGGUGCCUGGUUGAGCACCUUUUCUUGGACUCAGGACAGUUGCCUCUUCCUUGGCAACAUUGGUGCUUGUCCCCAACCGCACUUUGAAUUGCCUCUUGCCAACACCUUGAAAACCAAGUUUCUAGAGGUGAGUUGCAAUGAAUCCAACACGUGAGCUGGAAAAUGACAAGUCAUGGGGCAGUGUUUCUAAACGUUUAUAGCUGGAGGAGAGCCUCAGCGUGUGGGGAUGCCACACUCAGCAGGCGUAGGCUUUCCCUUGUUUUGAGACUGUUUUCUUUAAUGUGAAAAUCCCACUGGCCAGGGGUGGUGCUCAGACUGUCACUUCUGUGGCAUUAACAGUGGGUGACUCCAGGAGGUCUCUUUGGGCCCAUGUCAAUGAUGUGUUCAUUUUGAGCAUCAGAUACCCAGAGAACAGAGAGGGGACAUGCUGUAAAAGGGGAGGAAGGCACUAAACUGCUUCUCUGAGAAUCCUUUUCCACUGAUGUUCCCUACAGUCAAACAAAACUCAACUUGAACAGUCCAUUCUGUCACUGUGUCCUUUCAGACUGUCUUUGAAAUUGAGGCGUUACCAUUGGAAGAUACCCUAUGAAGAUGGCUUCUCUCCUAGAAUGUCAGAGUAUGUAAAAAGUUCUGGCUGCUGCUGGGGCGGGGGAAAGCCUUUUCUUCUCUUUCCUAGAGGAAGCUCUCCUUCUCUAUCCAGAGACAAGUGCUGGAUGGAGAUGCAAGGAAAGAAGCCAAGAGCUUCGUGUCUCAGCCACAGGCCUCACAGGCUCUCGGAUUUCCUACAGAGCAUGACAGUGUGGCCUCACUGACAGUGUACUAGACGGAGAGCAGAAAGCCUUCUGUGAGAUCUUGGACCUCAGUGGUCCCAUCUGUAGAUGAGAAACUGGAAUCAGCCCCCAGCUCUAUCAGGCUCUACAUGUCUACAAUGUUGCCAAUCAUUAAAAAGGGAAACUACACAGCUUUGCCUUCUGAGGAAAGAGAGAGUACGUAGGGAUUGAUCCAACUUGUAUUUAGUAAUUAAUUUGUUCCAUAAACACAUAGUAAUUCUACAGUGUGCCAGACACUCUGUUCUGGGAUCUGUGGAUUUUAAGAUUUUAGUCAUAACCUCAGGGUCAUCUGAGAGCUUACACCCAAAUAGUCUGCAUCUGUUUCUGGACAUGGGGAUGCUAAUGGGCUUUCAGCUCACAGGUUAACCUGGGCCCCCAAGAUCUGCUGGGGUGUUAGAAUAGUGCUGGUGGCCUUCUCUGCCAGUCAGAUCCGUAAGUCCUUUUGGUCAGGUUCCCUUAUGGAGUUUAGAAACACCCCUGAUCAGGUGCUAAAGUUUCCAAGUCCCAUAGGCUAGAAGUACAAUGAUGAGUAAGGUCAAGGUUCCUUGUUCUCCAGGAACCCUCCGCCUAGCAGGAGAUCGAGGCAGAAAGUGGCCUGAGGCAAAGCCUGAAGGAGCAAAGAAGGGGCACCUAACCCCAUGCGAGUAUAGGGGUAGUGGGGAAAGUGGGAACAGAGAACCUCACCCAAAAGCAGAGGAUAGCAUCUUCCAGAAGCUACCUCUGCCUUAUUUGGUUUGGGCAGAGUUCUAUAAAAAUACGUCCAGAAUCUUCCUCAUGUUAAACCUGCACCAGAUGCAAGAUAGUUCUUGUGGAAAUAGAGGUUUCUGUGUGGGGAGAGGAGAUCAGCUUCAGAGAUCAGACUGGCCCCAUAGCAUGUAGUGACCUGUUUUCUGCCCUCGGGACUCAUGCCCUUUCGUUGGAGAGGCAGGUUCUUCGUCCAAAAUGGAGACAUGCACAAGAGUGAAGGGUAGUCAAAGAGAAAAGUGAUGACUUUGAUAGCAGGUUCUUCAGAUGGUCAGGAAAAUAAAGCAUUUGACCACAGAAUGAGGUAAAAGGAAAUGACUUUAGAGCCACUGAGACUUGAGUUUAGUUCUGUUCUGAGGUCUCUAGCUGAGAACAGAAAGUCUUCAAACUUCCAUUUCCUUACAUGUAAAGUAAGGGAGGGCACUCUUGCCUCUUGAAGUUGGUAUGAGACUUGAGUUCUAGUGAUGUGGAGGUGGAGGGGCUCAUUGGAGUGGCUCUGUCUCCAGGUUAGAUGAUGGUUGGAUUCCACACACCAAGAGUCAGUCCUUCAUGCUCAGAACACGGGUGAACGUUUUUCCGGACGAUAUGCUGGACUUAAGGUAGACUGAUCCCCCUCUGGAGCUAGGGCCUUUCCCUGGUUAUGAAGACCACCCCAAGCUUUGUCCUCUCUUCCUUCCCCCUCGCUCCUUCAGCACACUUUGCUCACCCUCAUCGGUGAGGGUCCAGAUUCAACACUGCUUCUGUGUCUGAGUUCUAGAAGGGGUUCCACUGACACACCAGUUGUAAAGCUGCUGCUGCUCCUUCUUCUUCUUCUUCUUCUGUUUAUUUAUUUUGAGAGUGAAAGAGAGAGAGAACAUGUGUGCAUUGGCAUAAGCAAAGGAGGGGCAGAGAUGGAGGGAGAGAGAAUUCCGAGCAGGCUUCUCACUGUCAGCAUGGAGCCUGAUGUGGGGCUCGAACCUGCGAAUUGUGGGAUCAUGACCUGAGCCGAAAUCAAGAGUCAGGUACUUAAUGGACUGGGCCACCAGGUACCCCAAGGCUUCUCAUUCUUUAUUCAGCCAUAAGUCUUGCAUUUGCCCUCCUGCCGGGUUGCGAUAGGGAGCACAGGAGGCAGAGGAUGGAGAAGAGGCUAAGAUUUCCUUUCUCUUCAGGCUCAAGGUAGUGCAAGUGGAAGUGGAGGUUGCUGUGUACAGUUGUGAGGACCUUUGGCUCAAAGGAAUCAGAAGAAAUUUAAUAAAAAUCCCAGCCCAAGGGUGAAGUCAAAUGCCUCUGGUUCCGUAAAGGUUAAUUUAUUACAAUAAAGAGGGUGAGAGUUCUCUGUGGCUUCUUACACACUCAGAAUUGGCAAAGCAGAAAUAUUAUGUAUUAGCUUAAAUGAUGGCAAAUUUUAGGCGGCCUAGGAAGUAGGAGCGUCCAGUGGGAGGCAGAGAUUAAAUAAAAUUUCCUUCCUAUUUAACUGGAUGUUUGAUUAGUGGACCCAAUGCUAAGUCCUUUAGAGUCAGACCCUCUGAGCAGAAGUACUUGAAGCUUCAGGGAGGAGACAGAUGCAAGCUUGCUGCACUGUGAACUAUUGCCCCUGAUAUUGUGCAGUGUACAACUUGUGCAGCUGUGCAUGGUAUUCCAGGAGGUCAAAAUAUGAGCAGAAUUUUUUAAAUUGGAUUGCAUUUGACAAUCAUAUUUGUAGAAAAGGUUCACCUGAUUGGUGAUAUAGCAGGAAUACAGGUGUGUGAGGGUGGCUUACGAACAAGAAACCUAUGGAAUUCAGGGACGUCGAAUCCUGUUUAGCACUUAAUGUGAAUUGAAAUCUCGUAAGUUGGGCUAUGUGUUCGGCUGCUGGCAUUGGAAGUAUCUUUUUGGCCAGGGAGGACUGGGUGGAAAGAUGCGGAGCUCUUGGGCUUGACAUGGAAAGUGCCAGGAACUCAGUGUAUACUUGGAUUCCUGUUCUCUCCUCAGUUUGGAAAUCAGUCAGCUGAUACUUGCUAAGAUUUUGCCAUGUGCCCAGUGCCCAGGUACUGAGGUAUGAUAGGGGAGUAUGUAAUUCCGGUCCUUAAGGAUGCGUCUCUGUCUGGAUGAAGACACAAAAGUUAGACCGCACAAUCUGACACUCAGGUGUGUGGUAAAAGUCAUCGAGGCUUCAGAAUUCAGAGAUGGGAGCUGUUAGCAGGGGUUUGAAUUGAACUUGACACUGUGAGUCAGAUUUGAGGGAGUGCUCUAAGGAUGGGUCCACGCCUGCUUUCCUAGGGUCAAAGAAGGCAGACGUGGGCAAUAGAAAUUCAGAUUAUCCAAUUAAGACUUAUUGCCACUGUUUACUUGGGUCAUUUUCUUGGGGCUGGGGUUCCAGAAAUUUGAGGUUUUUUGAUAGCACCCCCCCCCCAUUUUAUUGAGAUACCGUUGAUGUAUACACAUUGUGUCAUUUAAGGUGUACAAUGUGAUAAUUUGCUGCACAUACAUAUUCUGAAAUGUUUAGCACGAUAAGAUUAGUUAACACAUACUUACCUCCCGUAAGCACCAUUUUUUGGUUGCUGAUGUUACGGUUGACACUGCCUUUUGCUACUAAUACCCAUGUUUAAUAUCCCUGUGUGAUACGGGCGUCUGGUAGCUUCUAGUCUGUGUCUGUCUCUUGUAUCCCUGUCUUACAAGCUUGUGGAGUCAGCAGGGUGACAGAUAGAACCCUACUGGAAAGAAUGAAGGUGGAGCCAGGAUUACACAUUUACCGCUUUGGUCAACCGAUAUGAUUGCAGUCUUCCAGAUUUUCUUUGAAGCUGAAACAUAUGUUUCUGUUGCCAGGCAGGUGAGGACCCUGAGACCCAGACAGGCAAAAUGACAGCCUCAGGACACACACAUGCUUAGUGAUGGGGCCGUAGCCUCUCUGGGCCUUCUGUUUCUUCAUCUGUGAAGUGACAGGCUUGAAAGACAUGAUCUGGGAGGACCCUCCAGCCCAGUGGCCUGAGUCCGUGUCUAAUACAGCUUCCCUGAUUCCAAGUGAAUGCACUCUCUGUAACACCAGGCUGUUUCUUUGGCUGAACAAAAGUGAUUUGAUUCCCCAAAUCAAUAAACAAAUUAGAGAAACAGUAGAGAGAGAGCCUGGGAACCGAGGGACAACAGAUGAGAGAAGGCCUGGCCUAGAGAGGGGAGAAGUGGGAGGGGCUCCCAGGGAGCUUCCUGCAAAAGCCAGAGCAGGGCAGGCAGGGGCAGGCAGGGCAGGCCGGCCAGGAGAUUGCAGCCUUCACUGGCCUUUUUCAUUCUGUGGUGUCACUUGCC